AGAAAGUAAAGCACAGAUCCAGGAAAGACAGAGAACAUCAAGCAGGAUAAAUACCAAAAUAAAACAAACUCCUACACCUAGGUAUAUUAUAUUCAAAUUGCAGAGAAACAAAGACAAAGAGAAAACAUAGAAAGAAGCCAGAGGGAAAAAACACCUUAUCUAUAGAGGAACAAAGACAAAAACUACAGUGGCCUUCUCAUCAGAAACCAUGCAAGCAAGAAGAGAGGGGUGUGAAAUAUUUAACAUGUUGAAAGAAAAAAAUCCACCAAGCUAGAAUUCUAUACACAGCAAAAUUACUUCAAAACUGGAGAAAUAAAGCCUUUAUCAAACCAACAAAAUCUGAGAUAAUUUAUCACCAGCAGACAUACUCUGCAAGAAAUUUUAAAAGAAGUUUUUCAGGUAGAAGGAAAAUUAAGUGGAUCAGAGACACGAUCUUCAAAAAGAAGGGGAGAAGGAGAAAGUGUGUCAGAGAAGAAACAAAUGAAGUUCCACAGCUAAAGCACUGAUGGAACCUUGCUGGGUCACUUGGUUCAGUUUCCUGCCGCUAGGCUGUACUUAAUUUCAACUAUCCUGGGACAUUAUGCUUCUUCUAUAUGCAAAAGAAUUGGUUAUUCCAACAACACUUUGGACAGAAGUUUUCCAUAGAAUGUGAAACAUGC
rnacentral:lncRNA from 1 species